UUACGUGAAUACAUAGCGUAAUGAAGCGAACCGGGGGAACUGAAACAUCUAAGUACCCCGAGGAAAAGAAAUCAACCGAGAUUCCCCCAGUAGCGGCGAGCGAACGGGGAGCAGCCCAGAGUCUGAAUCAGCUUGUGUGUUAGUGGAACGGUCUGGAAAGUCCGACGGUACAGGGUGAUAGUCCCGUACACCAAAAUGCACAGGUUGUGAACUCGAAGAGUAGGGCGGGACACGUGGUAUCCUGUCUGAAUAUGGGGGGACCAUCCUCCAAGGCUAAAUACUCCUGACUGACCGAUAGUGAACCAGUACCGUGAGGGAAAGGCGAAAAGAACCCCGGCGAGGGGAGUGAAAAAGAACCUGAAACCGUGUACGUACAAGCAGUGGGAGCCUCUUUAUGGGGUGACUGCGUACCUUUUGUAUAAUGGGUCAGCGACUUAUAUUCUGUAGCAAGGUUAACCGUAUAGGGGAGCCGAAGGGAAACCGAGUCUUAACUGGGCGUUAAGUUGCAGGGUAUAGACCCGAAACCCGGUGAUCUAGCCAUGGGCAGGUUGAAGGUUGGGUAACACUAACUGGAGGACCGAACCGACUAAUGUUGAAAAAUUAGCGGAUGACUUGUGGCUGGGGGUGAAAGGCCAAUCAAACCGGGAGAUAGCU
rnacentral:rRNA from 1 species